rnacentral:lncRNA from 1 species
UCUUGACAUUCCCCAAGUAGAUUCAUUUGUAUUUUCCAAGUGAAUCUACUCUUUACUCAGAACUGAUGAAGUCCUGGGCUGACUGUCUACACUGCCUUUUAUUUCAGUACUGCAGGUUUCUCUAGUUUUGUACAUAACUUUUCAGAAGGAGUUCAGUCAGGUUGGAAUAAUACAUUUGAAUAGCUGUGCGUGCAAUGCUGAGAACCUCUGCAGUCGAUGAGGCAUAGCUCAUUUCUUCUUAGUGUUUUGGUCAUGGUGGUCCGCCAUCUGGCCGAACCCACAGGAAAGACGCCCUGCCCUGGACAUUGGGGCUGGGCCUGGGAUCUGGGGACUGCCCAACAGCAUGGGGCUGCAAGCUGCAAUCCGUGGGUCCAGGCUCCUGCUUUGCCACUAGUUGGUUUUACAUGUUUUGGUACAAGUCAUGUAACCACCCAGGCCUCAGUUUCUUCAUCUGUCAAAUAAAAUUAUCUCUAAUAUUUUAAGUGCCAAACAUAGCUUUUAGUGCAUCGGGAUGAACAUUCCCAUCCCAUGUAUUAAUGUCUCCAUCUGUUUGAAAAUGGUUCCCUACACUGGCCACCUACUGGGGUCACCUGGAUAGCUCCUAGUUCAGUCAGAAUCCCUGAGGUUUGGCCUGGGCGUUGGUAUUUUUAAAGCUCGUCAAAUGAUGAUUCUCAGGAGACACCAUAGUUAAGAACUAUUGUUUAAAAAUGUGGUGUGUGCGUGUAAAUAGCAGAUGUUAAAAGAGGGUCCGCUGAGUAUUCUUUAGAAGAGGGGCUUUCUGCAAAUCAGGAGUGUACCUACUUCCAAGUAAAUGAGUAGGAAUGGCUUCGGGGACAAGGUGUCAGUCGACAGUCAUACAUUUUAAUCUUACAAAGAGAUGUGUUUUGUUUUCUUCUGAAGGCCCCUCUGCAUUGGUUCUGCUGCUUUAGAACCUACACAUCCCAACACACCCCUCAUCUUUGCCAACAUUGAGAAAUUGUUACCCUCGUUCAGAAGAUGGGUCUUUAAAGCACCUAAAUAAUUGUCUGAAAUUUUUACAUAAACCUCUGGGGUUUGCCUUUGAUCAUGAUCAUUAAUAUCAUUAAUAGGCUCUCUAAAAGUGCGUGUGAAUCUCAAGUUAGCAUUUGGCAGGGCAGUGGAAGAAUGAACGCUUUUAAAAUAGUUUGGCUCAGAAAGUGCAUCUGAAAUAACCCUGUGGGAAAAUCAGGAGAAUUUCUCAUCCUCCAAAGGAUUACCUAGGAUGAGAUACUGACCUUGUAUUUUAAGUUCAGUUGCAUUUCUUAAAACCUCAUUCAUUACCCAGCCUGAUUUAUUUUAGGAGUGAAGUAGGCUGUGGGAGGGGGCUAUAUAAUGAUGUAUGGUUUUUAUGUUUGCUUUUUGUUUUCUGCACAGUUCCCAAAAGAUUUUUAUCAUAACGUGUAUAUAUAUGUCUUAAAAAAAAAAAAAAAAA